rnacentral:lncRNA from 1 species
CAAAGACCUUUAUUUACAACUCUCAUGUGGUUACCUCUGAACCUCCAGAAGGAAGCCUCCCUAAUCCCUGAAUUCUGGUCUCUGUCUUGUUUUACUGCUCUUAAAGAUUACAAGAUAAGUUACCAAUAAAAUAGGCGCUGAGCUGUUCUCGGGGAGUUGUGCGUCUCCGGGAGCUCUCCCCGUGCUCUCUCUCAUACUCCUAUGUGUUUCGAGAAUUAAUCAGUGCGAAACUGCUGCAAUUGGCACCGAAACAGGGACCUCCUGAAAGUUUGCUUCAUAUCCCCUCCUCAAGCCCGAGCAAGGGCAAAGGAUAUCUGCUCAUCCAGGGACACCCAAUGCCAGGUGUGACCAGGGAGGGUUCACAUGGAAACAAACACCAGAAUGAAAUGGAUUCUGCCUAGUACCUGAAAGGUCCUGUCCCUGGAAUGUCCUGACCUCCCAGAGCUCUUAGAACAAAUUAAAUGUUCUUCAUGAAAACAACUGUGUAAGUA